UGAGGCUGCCACAGUGCUGUGUUCCUAGGUCCAGCCAGCAAGGAGGCUGAGGACGUAUCCUUGACUAUUUCAAAAGAAGAACACGCCGUCAUGUUCCUGCCACAAACUUUCUCUCCUUUGGACAGAUUCUCAACUUGCUCUGACAGGUCUGUUGCUUUCAGUGGAAUUAUGAUGAUUGCUACCAGUGCAGAACUCCACAUGCUUAAAGACUCUGUGUAUUCCUAUUUCCUGCACUUGUUCUUCUUCUAAUUAAUGGAUCUUUAACUUAUGAAGUCCUCUGUUGCAAGAUAAAUAUGUGAUAUUAAUCAAUGGGAUUUGCAUCAGAGAGGUGUGUUACGUGAUUUGUUUAUGUAAAUAACACAAGAAGUGAACAUUCCAAGGGCAAACAGUAAGUGAUAUUUGAUUGGAGCUAUUAAGAACAACGUGAAAUGCUGCUUAAUAAAAUAACACCAUGUGACUUCUAGUGCUAGAUUAAACUAAAAGGUUAACGUGUCAUUUAAACAGAAAGAUGGAACAAAUAGCAUUUUUAUUUACUGUUUAUAGAUAGGAAUGACAUUUCUGCUGUAAUAGUUAAAACGAAAGUACUAAUAAUUGUCCAUUAUCAUUUGAGAAUGGCCUGGUAUCUAAUGAAUGCAUGUGCUCAGAGAUUCAUUUCCUUGAUAAUAAAUUGUUAUUAUUAAUGUGUAGAGAAAAUAAA